GGAAAGGUAACGGCUUACCAAGGCGACGAUCAGUAGCCGACCUGGGAGGGUGAUCGGCCACAUUGGAACUGAGACACGGUCCAAACGCCUACGGGAGGCAGCAGUGGGGAAUAUUGCACAAUGGGCGAAAGCCUGAUGCAGCAACGCCGCGUGGGUGAUGAAGGCCUUCGGGUCGUAAAACUCUGUCCUCAAGGAAGAUAAUGACGGUACUUGAGGAGGAAGCCCCGGCUAACUACGUGCCAGCAGCCGCGGUAAUACGUAGGGGGCUAGCGUUAUCCGGAUUUACUGGGCGUAAAGGGUGCGUAGGCG
rnacentral:rRNA from 1 species